rnacentral:rRNA from 1 species
ACGGAUCUCUUGGCUCUGGCAUCGAUGAAGAACGCAGCGAAAUGCGAUAAGUAAUGUGAAUUGCAGAAUUCAGUGAAUCAUCGAAUCUUUGAACGCACAUUGCGCCCGCCAGUAUUCUGGCGGGCAUGCCUGUGCGAGCGUCAUU